AACACAUGCAUGCAUAAGUGGGCUUACACACUACAACUAAAUCAAUAAAAAUUUUGUGACUCGGAUACUUAUGUCUUGUUGAUAGAUCUUAGGAAUUGCGAACAGAUAAUUUACUCAAAUCAUUUAAUUCAGGAUGAAAACAUUAGACUGGCUUGAGAGCAAUCCCUAGUUUCACACCUCAAUUAGUAAUUUUUUUAUGUUGAACCUAACAACUAACUCCUUUAUGUGAACCAAGAGCUUUGCUCAAAUGGGCUGAGGUGAGAUAUUACUUGUACUUAUUUCUGAUUUUUUUCCUGCUUCUUUAUUGGAUUCUCUUUGUAGAUCAAUCUACGGUUUUGUGAUAAGAAUAUUGCUACUUGAUAAUUUGUUUUUAGUGAGCAAGCAAGAACCAGAUCAGGAAUUUAAUCUAUAACUUUGUCUUUUACUUGAACAGAAGCUAAUUGGUGUAUUUUUUUGUUUGUGUUAUCCUAUUAGGGAAAAUUUACAGACCUAUGACUGCUACCAACGAAACAAAGGACUUAACUGAAUUCUUAGAAGGCCCCAGUUGGAGCAACUACUGAUUGCAAAAAGUAAAAAAAAGGAUCAAGAUAUAACAUUGGGAAUAAUCAAGGAUUUUAGGGGAUGGCAUUGAUUUCAGCAGAGUUACAUUGCAUAUUGUGCUAUAAAUGAUAUUCACAAACUACCUAAUAAGUAUGAGAGAUCCAUGUAUGAGAAAGAUGUGGAGAUCAGGUGUUAACUGAUUUUUGUUUGUGCAGCGAUCUGUCUCAUCACACCAAGACCCGGGGCCCAAGCAUAUGAUACUACGUUGCAGAACUACAAGGUUCAAAUUUUUAUUUGUUGCGUUAUCUAAAUUUGACCUACACUUUAUAUCAUACCUAAAUAAUUAUUGGUAUCAACAAUAAAUGAACUGUGACAUGGAUUUCAUUGUGGCUGUAUUUGUUGUUAUACCAUCAUUAACCAUGUGUAUGGAUCAACGAUAUUUUUAUAUGAUUUAGGGAUUGAUUUCUCAAAAGUUUCGUUGUCAUUCCUCUAUUGUGUAGACACAUGUGUCAUGACUACUAGAAAGGAACAGACGAUGCAGAGGGGUAAAUACUAACCUGCCUUGUACCGAACCCCCC
rnacentral:lncRNA from 1 species